AUGACUUCGACGCGAGAGUGUACGGAAUUACCACCGAUGGGGCAAUGUGCGCGCCGCCUAAGCGAACACAGAAACUCUCAGGUUAAAUAGUGUCGAAGGAUG
rnacentral:ncRNA from 2 species